rnacentral:snRNA from 10 species
AAUUUUGCACAGUGGCAGUAUCAUAGCCAAUGAGGUUUAUCCAAGGCGUGAUUAUUGCUAAUUGAAAAGCAGAUUAAUAAAAAA